rnacentral:rRNA from 1 species
AACUGCGAAUGGCUCAUUAUAUAAGUUAUCGUUUAUUUGAUAGCACAUUACUACUUGGAUAACCGUGGUAAUUCUAGAGCUAAUACAUGCUAAAAACCCCGACUCCGGAAGGGGUGUAUUUAUUAGAUUAAAAGCCAACGCCCUUCGGGGCUCUGUGGUGAUUCAUGAUAACUUUUCGAAUCGCAUGGCCUUGCGCCGGCGAUGGUUCAUUCAAAUUUCUUCCCUAUCAACUUUCGAUGCGAGGGUCUUGUCCUCGCAUGGUUGCAACGGGUAACGGAGGGUUAGGGCUCGACCCCGGAGAAGGAGCCUGAGAAACGGCUACUACAUCCAAGGAAGGCAGCAGGCGCGCAAAUUACCCAAUCCCGACACGGGGAGGUAGUGACAAUAAAUACUGAUACAGGGCUCUUUAGGGUCUUGUAAUCGGAAUGAGUACAAUUUAAAUCCCUUAACGAGGAACAAUUGGAGGGCAAGUCUGGUGCCAGCAGCCGCGGUAAUUCCAGCUCCAAUAGCGUAUAUUAAAGUUGUUGUGGUUAAAAAGCUCGUAGUCGAACCUUGGGCCUGGCCGGCCGGUCCCCCUCACCGGGUGCACUGAUCCGGCCGGGCCUUUCCCUCUGUGGAACCCCAUGGCCUUCACUGGCUGUGCGGGGGAAACAGGACUUUUACUGUGAAAAAAUUAGAGUGCUCCAGGCAGGCCUAUGCUCGAAUACAUUAGCAUGGAAUAAUAGAAUAGGACGCGUGGUUCUAUUUUGUUGGUUUCUAGGACCGCCGUAAUGAUUAAUAGGGACAGUCGGGGGCAUCAGUAUUCAAUUGUCAGAGGUGAAAUUCUUGGAUCUAUUGAAGACUAACUACUGCGAAAGCAUUUGCCAAGGAUGUUUUCAUUGAUAAGGAACGAAAGUUAGGGGAUCGAAGACGAUCAGAUACCGUCGUAGUCUUAACUAUAAACUAUGCCGACUAGGGAUCGGACGAUGUUAUUUCUUGACGCGUUCGGCACCUUUCGAGAAAUCAAAG